rnacentral:misc_RNA from 1 species
AACGCACCUUGCACCCUUUGGUAUUCCGAAGGGUAUGCCUGUUUGAGUGUCAUUAAUAUCAUCAAUUGUUUAUCUUUUUGUUUAAAAGAUCAUUCAAUUGGACUUGGAGGUAUUCUGCUGGCUGCAAAGUUAGCUCCUCUUAAAUGUAUUAGCUGUACUACGGUCAUCAGCUUCAGUUUGAUAAAUAUCUAGCUGUUGUUGUCGACUAAUAUUAGUACUGCUCACAGUUGUCUUCGGACUAUGCUUUAUUGCAUAUACCUGAAUCUUGACCUCAAAUCAGGUAGGGCUACCCGCUGAACUUAA